UUAUCAUUUUCACAUCUUUUUAUUGCUCCUAGAAUAAGCAAAUCAGCUGUGCAAUCAUCUUUGGAAUUUGGGCAGGAAAUUACAGAAUAUGGUGAGUUCUGACACCUGUUUUCACCAAAACUAUUUUUCUGGAGUUAUUAUUGACUAAUUGUUUUGUCUGAUUGUUUGAAGGAGGAUGAAGUCAGUUGAUUAAGAAAUUGGCAUGUUGUAUUUGUAAUAAAGAGUUUUCAACACAUUACUGAUUUGUUUUGACUGCUUGUAUUAUGUUCUCAUUUUCUACUUGUAGAGGUAGAGAAGCUGGCAGCCGGCACUGAAAACACUCAAUGCUGAGGUCAGACCUUACAGAAGUGGUCAGAGAAGCAGGUUUGCGUCCAGAGAUGAUGGAGUCUUUGUUGACGGGAGUAUUCUAUGGCCACCAAGUGCAGCACUGCAGCCUGAAACCAUCACUUAUCUGCUGUGAAGACUUCUUUUUCCUAACAGCUCUACUGUGACAACUCAGAUGCUAUGGCCCAUAAAAGUAAACAUCACAACCGUGUGAACUGAGAGAUAAACAAUGGACUUCAUCUCCUGGUUGAGAAAAAGCUACACGCAUCAGUGGUGCUGAUGAACUAUUUGAGCUGCUUCAAAUUCACAUCACCAGGGACCACACAUGGCCCAUCCACACUGAUGCAGUGCUGAAGAAGGCUCAUCAGUGUCUUUUCUUCCUCAGACAGAUGAGGAAGUUCAGUGUGAGCCCCAAAACCCUGAAAUCAUUUUACACAUGCACUGUGGAGAACAUCCUGACUGGCUGCAUCCCUGCCUGGUGUAGGAACAGCACUGCCCUCAACUGCAAAGCUCUGCAGAGAGCGUUACGACCUGCACAGAACAUUGUUGGAGGUGAGCUUCCCUCCCUCCAGG